GAUGAACGCUGGCGGCGUGCUUAACACAUGCAAGUCGAACGAAGCACUUUAUUUGAUUUCCUUCGGGACUGAUUAUUUUGUGACUGAGUGGCGGACGGGUGAGUAAUGCGUGGGUAACCUGCCUUGUACAGGGGGAUAACAGUUGGAAACGGCUGCUAAUACCGCAUAAGCGCACGGCAUCGCAUGAUGCAGUGUGAAAAACUCCGGUGGUAUAAGAUGGACCCGCGUUGGAUUAGCUAGUUGGUGAGGUAACGGCCCACCAAGGCGACGAUCCAUAGCCGACCUGAGAGGGUGACCGGCCACAUUGGGACUGAGACACGGCCCAAACUCCUACGGGAGGCAGCAGUGGGGAAUAUUGCACAAUGGGCGAAAGCCUGAUGCAGCGACGCCGCGUGAGCGAAGAAGUAUUUCGGUAUGUAAAGCUCUAUCAGCAGGGAAGAUAAUGACGGUACCUGACUAAGAAGCACCGGCUAAAUACGUG
rnacentral:rRNA from 1 species